UUGUCCCUUUUUUUUUUUUUUUUUGCCUGGAAAAUGGUGAAUUCUGAAUGAGCAAUGGUAUCAUUAAUGUUUAUGAGUAUUAUUCCUGAAACACUCCUCCUGAUGUCAUAUGAUGUCAUAUGCUUUUCAAGAAAAAUAAUCAUUAUUAAAGUCCCAAUUGAAGUGAUGGUGAUCUGUAGACCACAAAGUGCCCUUUAAAUAAAAUUCAGGUUGUGUCUCUGUAAGUCACAGUAUAGUUAAUUGUGGUCCCUGCAUUUAAGAAAAUAUUCUGUUUCCUGUCCUUUUUAAUCUAAAAUUUUUGAUUUGUUAACCUUGCCCUAAAUAAUUUUGUCCGUAGUAAGAGUA